rnacentral:snRNA from 1 species
GGAGGUGAGGGCGAUCUGGCUGCGACAUCCGUCACCCCACUCAUGGUCAGCGUUCAUUCGGCUGACCUGGCUGGCUAGGCGGGUGUCCCCUUCCUCCCUCACCGCCCUGUAUGCAUCCCUCCGGAAGCUGCGCGCUCGGUCGAGGAGGAUGACCUUCCCCGAUAGAGACGUACUGUUCAUCGAUCAAGGGUAUGCGGUAGCUCUGCUCCAACCUCCAAUUCUGUGAACAAGAAAUGAAAACACUAAUUUCAUUUUAAUUUUCCUUUGCAUUCCGUUGCAUACACUGAUGUCCAAAUUUUA